AUGCUCUCGCUCAGGUUGUCUACUAGUGGCACCAGCACAGGACUCGGCCGGUUCGCCGCCGCGAGGUUGGCGGCCGCAGCUCGUGGAGGGAGGAGCGUGUCCGCCGCGCCCGGCAUGGAGCACCCGCGCGACGACACGCACAACACCAAAGAGGACGUGACGAGCCACCCGUUCGGGGUGGCCUACUCCACGAGGUCGGACGAGGAAGGCUUCGGCGGGGUGUACGCGAGGGACGACGACCGGCCGGCGUUCAGCCGUCCAACUGCCGAGGCGCAUCCGACCCAUCCUCCUGACCAUGAUACCUCGCAGGUGAAGGAGGAGAAGGCGCGCCAUCUCAAGGACGACAAGCACGCCACCUAG
rnacentral:rRNA from 1 species